GACGAACGCUGGCGGCGUGCUUAACACAUGCAAGUCGAGCGGAGCGGCGAACGGGUGAGUAAGGCGUGAGUAACUGCACCCCUCUCGGGGGUAACAGUUGGAAACGGCUGCUAAUACCGGAUAGUGGGGGCUGAAUCGCGUCCGAUCACCUUGUGGGUGGGGUAGUGGCAUACCAAGGCGACGACGGGCAGCCGGCCUGAGAGGGCGACCGGCCACAUUGUGCUGUGAGAGGGCCCAGUCGCCUAUGGGGUGCAGCAGGGGGGAGUAUUGCUCAGUGAGGGAAACCCUGAUGCGGCGACGCCGCGUGCGGAAUGCCGGCCUUGCGGUUGUGAACCUCUUUCAGCCAUGAAGCGGUAGUGGCAGAAGAAGCACCGGCUAACUACGUGCCAGCAGCCGCGGUAAUAC
rnacentral:rRNA from 1 species